UGUGGCGCCAAAGGUCUCAGUGAACGGUUUCCUUUUCCUCCUCCUGCGUCUGCUCGCGGAUAUGGACUGAAACUCGCGGGUCUGUCCCUUGGGACCUUACUUUUCUUCAGUUACUUACGUUUUACAGUCUUCGCUUUACGGUUUACGGAGCUUCUAAUUUUCAAAUAUUGAAUGAUUUUUAGCCCCACAUUUACGAGUAUCGCCCUAUUUAACGACUAUAAACUGAGAGUGUUCAAAAUCUGGAGUGGAUUUUAUACUUACAGCACAUAUCAGUUUGGAGUAGCUACAUUUCACGUACUUGUGUGGCUAGGUGAAGGUCUAGGAUAUGCCUUUCCUAGAAGAAGUCACCUGGGAGGCCAAGUUAACAAUCAGAAGACUCUGGGCUGCACUUGCUGCAGUAAUGCCAGAUCUAAGCCACGUCUGUGACUUACACCACAGUUCACGGCAACACUGGAUACUUAACCCACUAAGCAAGGCCAGGGAUCAGACCUAUAUCUUCAUGGAUGCUAGCUGGGUUCUUAACCCGCUGAGUCACAACAGGAAUUCCCGUGAAUUGAAUUUUGGAUGUAUUUUGGGUGUGGGGCUGCCAGAAAUUGCAGACUGAGGAGAUGGGAAUAUGAGAGAGAGGAGUCAGGAUGGUACCAAGAUUUUUGGCCUGAGUAACAGGAAGAAUGGAGUUGCCAUCGACUGAGAAGGAGAAGGCAGCAAGAGGAGCUGGUCUGGGAAAGAGAGGUUGUAUCAGUAGUAUAGAAUGAGAUGUAUUUGCAUUAAGUUUGAGUCUGUUGUUGAAAAUCCAAGUAGAGAUGGUAAAUAGGUAUUCCAGUCUGAAUUGCAGAUACAAAUUUUGGGAAUCAUUGAUAAACAGAUGCUAUUUAAAGCAUAUUAAAUGGAUAAGUCUAAGUACUUGAAUUCUUAGCAUACUUCAAAAUACAGAGGUGUGGAGAUGAUAAGCAAAAGAGACUAAGAAGCAGUCAGAAAAUAGGAGGGAAAGUGGGUUAAAAUGGUACCUUGUUAUUGUUCUCUCUCUCUCUCUCUUUUUUUUUUUCCAUAGGCAAGAAAUAGAUUUAUGAAGAUAGGACGCUUGUGAGAGAUGCAAGCGGGCAGGCAAGGGGGCUCUGCCUGUUAUUGCUUUCAUUUGCACUUCUUUCAUUAUUGUUGUACAUUCCUUUGUAGAUUUUUUAUAACCGUUAUCAAUAGGGCUUUUUUGAUCUGAUUUUAAAAAUCCAUUGUAUUAAUUUUUUAAAUAUAAUAUGGCUUUUUAACCCUUUGUCAUACUAUACGAAAAUAUUCCUUCUGUUUUUUGUCUUUUUUUGUCUAUGACUGUUUAAAAUAUUUAUGUGGUAAAUAGUAAAUUGAUUAGUUUUUUUUUGUUUUGUUUUGUUUUUUUUUUUGAUUUUAAAGCUGCACCUGUGGCACAUGGAAGUUCCCAGGCUAGGAGUCCAAUUGGAGCUGCAGCUGCCAGCCUAUGCCACAGCCACGGCAAUGCCAGAUCUGAGUUGCAGCUCAGGGCAACACUGGAUCCUUAACCCACUGAGUGAGGCCAAGGAUUGAAUUUGAAACCUCGUGGAUACUAGUUGGGUUCACAGCCUGCUGAGCCACAGCAGGAACUCCCUUGAUUAGCAUUUUUAUUUGUGAUUUAUCUUCUUCUUGGGAAGCCUGGAAAUUUGUCUCAUCCUCUUGAGAUCUGAAGAUCAUUUAACUCUACUUUAUUCUAGCUUUUCAUUGUCUUGAUUUAUUUUUAUUGAUCUUUUUUUGUUGUUUUUGAUCUUAUUUUAUUGACCUAGAAUUAGUUCUAGUGCAUAAUGUGAGGUCAGGGUUUAAACCCAUUUCCUCAAGCAGAGGACUAAGUCAAUCAGCAGCAAAUAUUAUUUAGUUCACACAGGAAUUCAUAGUUAGAAAGGUGAUCAGGGUACAUGGGGCCUUGUGCUGAGACCCCUCGCCUGGGAACCUCCGUGUGCCGUGGGUGAGGCCCUAGAAGUGGCAAAAAGACAAAAAGACCAAAAAAAAAAAAAAAGCACUAUUAUGUGUAUUUAUGCAUAUUUCUGAGAAAUCUUAAGUUCUAAUAUCAAUACAAUUUUCUCUCUAGCUUGAGUGCUGUGGUUCUCUACAGUAGAGAAUUUUCAAAUAAAGGCAAUGCUUAAAAUAAUGAUUUUCCAUUUAAUUAAAGCAGAUACUUGCAAGUAAGUUUAUUUUCAGUUCACAUUUGAAUUGUUAUACUCAAUGUAUAAAUUGUUAUACAUUUUAAUUGUUAUACUCUUGAAGGUGAGGCAUUUGUUUAUUAUUUCUUUAUAAUUAUAGGUGACUGCUAAUAUUCUGGUUCAUUUUUUUAAAAUACCUAAAGAUACCCUUCAGUCUGAAAAUAGAAUUAUCCAUUGGAAAGUAAAACUAGUAAGAUUAAUCUGAAUACUAAAAAUGCAUCUUGCUUAUAAAUAUAGAUUUCAAAUCUUGAGUAAACAAAAAAAGAAAAGAAAAGAAAAGAAAGGAGUUCCUGUCGUGGCGCAGUGGUUAACGAAUCUGACUAGGAACCAUGAAGUUGCAGGUUCGAUCUCUGGCCUUGCUUGGUGGGUUAAGGAUCCAGCGUUGCCGUGAGCUGUGGUGUAGGUCGCAGACGUGGCUUGGAUCCUGUGUUGCUGUGGCUCUGGCGUAGGCUGGUGGCUACAGCUCCGAUUAGACCCCUAGCCUGGGAACCUCCAUAUGCCACGGGAGUGGCCCUAGAAAAGACAAAAAAAAAAAAAAUCUUGAGUAAAAAGACAAACAAGUUGGGAGUUCCCAUUGUGGUGCAGCAGAAACAAAUCCAACUAGCAUCCAUGAGGACGCGGGUUUGAUCCCUGGCCUCACUCAGUGGAUUAAAGAUCCAGUGUUGCUGUGAACUGUGAUGUAGGUGACAGAUGUGGC
rnacentral:lncRNA from 1 species